CAGAGACCACAACUUUCACAAGAGGCAGGGGCAGUACAGAAACUGACUCCAGAGCAGCCACCACCAGGGCAGCUCCUGGCACAACUCUUGCCCCUGGCAGUUCCAACACGGGGGCCACAGCUUCCCUAGGUGGAAGUGCAACGACAAGAGGUAGAAUAACCACCGCUACCACUGGGGCAUUCUCUGGAAAGACUCUGGAGCCUGGGAACGACAACACAG